GUAAAAGGGCACACAAGUGUUAUGCAUGUGAGAAGGGUGUAAAAGGUUGUACUGGGGAGUAAUGAAAUGGUGAUGCUUGAAACCACUCUUGUCUUGUGUGUCCUCUGUCAGGUGGGUACGUUAAUAGAUGACUCUUAUUAAAGUCUGUCCCUGGUAAGCUCAUGUGUGAGAUGAACUCUGGGAGACAGAGGCCAAAUAAAGGAGCAGCUGAGGGGCUGAGAGCCAUCUGGCAAAGAAGGAAGGAACAAAGAAAUGUGUUGUAUUGCAGGAGCUGGCCUGUAUCUAAAAAAGACUUUAAGAGAAUGUAUCCAGAUGUGAAAACCUCUACUUUUCUUUACACCCUUUGGGAAGUAUUGGAAUAAGUAUUGGAAAGGACUUAAUGCUCUUGACAGUUACAUUAACAAUCAGUUGUUCACUGAAGUGGACUGUGGAAAGAUUUCAUUAAUUCUAUGCUGUUUUGAACCAGCCCUGAGACUUUUCUUUUGCAGACCUCUCAAACUGGGAGGCAAGCAAGGCAUUUGAUCUACUGGUACCAACAUACUAACAUGAAUGUCUGAAGGAAAUGCCUCCAGCAUCACACAAUUAAACAUUUAGCUUUGAUGAUCAUCUUCUGCCAUUGUGGCAGCUCAGCUACCUAGUCCCUCAGGUGACAGAGAAGACACCCUGUAUCUAAACUGACAUGCUUAGGAAGUGCUCAAGUGCUUUCUGUGCUUUAUUUCUCUUUGAUCAUGGAUAUCCUUUCCUUAGACAUCUUACUCAGAUUGUGAACUGAGCAAGAAAUCUUAGUGCCAAACUUGACACCAAUGCAUGACCCUAGACACUGCGAAAGGCUAAUUACUUGUGAGAAUUAUCCCAAGUGCCUUGUACAGUAAUCAAACAGGAAUUCUGUGCUAAUACUGUAAAUGGAGCAAAGGUCUCUUGAGUCUAACUGCAAGAAUUUUUCUGUUGAUAGAGGGAACAUUCUGCACUUGAACAUAUAACCAAUGGCUUUAUGAUGGUUUUCACUUAAUCAAAACCAAUCUGUCUUUGGAGUUUUUUAAUAAUAAAGGUCAAAAGCA
rnacentral:lncRNA from 1 species